rnacentral:lncRNA from 1 species
GACUUGGCUCCCCAUCUAUGACAGGGCACAAAGCCCAGGAAGAGCAGGUUCAUGGGAGUGGAAGAAACAGGGAACCCUCGGGCUUUCUCCCCAAGCCUCCUCUCUGCAAUACAUCACCUAGCUCCCAGUCAGAGGACACGUGUACUAGGGAGGCUGAGGGAGCAGCAGCAAGGCACUGGGGUUUUUUGUUUCUGGAGAUGGGGGGAGGGCACAGAUAAGGUCUUGCUCUGUAGCCCAGGCUACCCUGGAACUCCCAGUACUAGGACUACAGAUGUGAGUACUAAGACUACAGGGUUACAGGUGUGAGUACUAGGGUUACAGGUGUGAGUACUAGGGUUACAGGUGUGAGUACUAGGGUUACAGGCUUCCUCGAGGCACAUCUUACACACCUUUGGGAACAUUGAGGGGCUAAAUACUUCUCUGAGGUCAUGCUCAGGACUGGAGCCUCCUAGCCAUGAAACAGCCCUGGUUCCAUGUGCACAGAAACCUAGUGCAUAGGAAACGCAGACAGCAGGAUCAGGUGUUCAGAGCUAACCAUAGCCACGCCCUGAGAUUGAGGCAAGCCUGGCCUACAUGAGACCCUGCCUCAAAAAUAAAAUAGAUCCAAAAAAAAAAAAAAAAA